CAGUGGCGGGGUUCCUACCGGGCGGUCGGAGCGGUAGCACAAGGAGCUUGGUCUCGGGUGACGAGCGGCGGACGGGCGAGUAAUGUCUGGGAAACUGCCUGAUGGAGGGGGAUAACUACUGGAAACGGUAGCUAAUACCGCAUAACGUCGCAAGACCAAAGAGGGGGACCUUCGGGCCUCUUGCCAUCAGAUGUGCCCAGAUGGGAUUAGCUAGUAGGUGGGGUAACGGCUCACCUAGGCGACGAUCCCUAGCUGGUCUGAGAGGAUGACCAGCCACACUGGAACUGAGACACGGUCCAGACUCCUACGGGAGGCAGCAGUGGGGAAUAUUGCACAAUGGGCGCAAGCCUGAUGCAGCCAUGCCGCGUGUAUGAAGAAGGCCUUCGGGUUGUAAAGUACUUUCAGCGGGGAGGAAGGUGUUGUGGUUAAUAACCACAGCAAUUGACGUUACCCGCAGAAGAAGCACCGGCUAACUCCGUGCCAGCAGCCGCGGUAAUACGGAGGGUGCAAGCGUUAAUCGGAAUUACUGGGCGUAAAGCGCACGCAGGCGGUCUGUCAAGUCGGAUGUGAAAUCCCCGGGCUCAACCUGGGAACUGCAUUCGAAACUGGCAGGCUAGAGUCUUGUAGAGGGGGGUAGAAUUCCAGGUGUAGCGGUGAAAUGCGUAGAGAUCUGGAGGAAUACCGGUGGCGAAGGCGGCCCCCUGGACAAAGACUGACGCUCAGGUGCGAAAGCGUGGGGAGCAAACAGGAUUAGAUACCCUGGUAGUCCACGCCGUAAACGAUGUCGACUUGGAGGUUGUGCCCUUGAGGCGUGGCUUCCGGAGCUAACGCGUUAAGUCGACCGCCUGGGGAGUACGGCCGCAAGGUUAAAACUCAAAUGAAUUGACGGGGGCCCGCACAAGCGGUGGAGCAUGUGGUUUAAUUCGAUGCAACGCGAAGAACCUUACCUACUCUUGACAUCCAGAGAACUUUCCAGAGAUGGAUUGGUGCCUUCGGGAACUCUGAGACAGGUGCUGCAUGGCUGUCGUCAGCUCGUGUUGUGAAAUGUUGGGUUAAGUCCCGCAACGAGCGCAACCCUUAUCCUUUGUUGCCAGCGGUUAGGCCGGGAACUCAAAGGAGACUGCCAGUGAUAAACUGGAGGAAGGUGGGGAUGACGUCAAGUCAUCAUGGCCCUUACGAGUAGGGCUACACACGUGCUACAAUGGCGCAUACAAAGAGAAGCGACCUCGCGAGAGCAAGCGGACCUCAUAAAGUGCGUCGUAGUCCGGAUUGGAGUCUGCAACUCGACUCCAUGAAGUCGGAAUCGCUAGUAAUCGUAGAUCAGAAUGCUACGGUGAAUACGUUCCCGGGCCUUGUACACACCGCCCGUCACACCAUGGGAGUGGGUUGCAAAAGAAGUAGGUAGCUUAACCUUCGGGAGGGCGCUUACUCACUUUGAAUGCGG
rnacentral:rRNA from 1 species